GCCAGGUGUGGUGGUGGACGCCUGUAAUCCCAGCUACUCAGGAGGCUGAGGCAGGGGAAUCACUUGAACCCAGGAGUCGGAGGCUGCAGUGAGCCAAGACUGUGCCACUGCACUCCAGCCUGGGUGACAGAGUAAGACUCUGUUUCCA
rnacentral:SRP_RNA from 1 species